CGGAGAAAGUGUUGGCCUAGUAGUUAAAUUUGUUAUAGUGAUUGGUUUAAUGUGAAUUGUUAGUUAGAUUGAUUUAUUUCUAACACCUGUGGCGAUUAGUAUCGUAAGAAUUGUUGGGAAUGGAGAUAUGAUAUAGUUUCAAAUACUCAUGGAGCAGCUUUGAUAAUUCUGCUUUCUUCAUUGACCCUUCUUUUGGACUAUGUAAUAGACUAUUAGAUGGCGCUUGAUUGUCAUCAACCUGUGUAAUAGUAUAUUACAUUGCGUCCGUGGGAGUUUUGUGCUCUCAUUGCUGGUCCCUAGCCUGGAUAAAGGAGGGUUGUGUCAAGAUGGUAUCUGGUGUCAAAUUUAUGCCAUAACUUUCAUCAUGAAUCUGAACAAUAUGACAUUCCAAACUCAUGCUAGGGUGUAUAAGACCAGCCAUGAUUUAUGGGACAAUGUUGGGCAAUUAAGGAACAACAUGUCAAUGGGAUGAUUUUAGCUGAAAUGAGGAUUUUGAGAUGGAUGAGUGGCAAGUCAAAGAAGAUAGAAUCAGAAAUGAAUACAUUUGAGGGAACUUAGGAGUAGCACCAAUAGGUAAUAAGAUGAGGAAAGUACACUUAAAUGGUUGGUCAUGUGCAACAGAGACCAAGAUUCAUGCCGGUUAGGAAGAGUGAGUUGGUACAAGUUGAAGGAUUUAAAAGGGCAAGUUGAGCCUAAAGGACAUGGAUGGAGGUAGUAAGAUAAGACUUGAUAACCUAUGGUGUAACUGAAGGUCUAGCCCUUGGCAAGGUGGAAGGCAAAGAAUGAUUCAUUUAGCCAACCCCAAUUAAUUGGGAUAAGGCUUUAGAUAAAGAUGAUGACGGAGCUUCUUUUGAACUCUCUCUC